rnacentral:rRNA from 1 species
UACGGGGGGGCAAGCGUUGUUCGGAAUUACUGGGCGUAAAGGGCUCGUAGGCGGCCAACUAAGUCAUACGUGAAAUCCCUCAGCUUAACUGGGGAACUGCGUGUGAUACUGGAUGGCUUGGAUUUGGGAGAGGGAUGCGGAAUUCCAGGUGUAGCGGUGAAAUGCGUAGAUAUCUGGAGGAACACCGGUGGCGAAGGCGGGUCUCUGGGCCGUAACUGACGCUGAGGAGCGAAAGCAUGGGGAGCGAACAGG